GAUGAACGCUGGCGGCGUGCCUAAUACAUGCAAGUCGAGCGAACAGACCAGGAGCUUGCUCCUCUGACGUUAGCGGCGGACGGGUGAGUAACACGUGGAUAACCUACCUAUAAGACUGGGAUAACUUCGGGAAACCGGAGCUAAUACCGGAUAAUAUAUUGAACCGCAUGGUUCAAUAGUGAAAGACGGUUUUGCUUUCACUUAAAGAUGGAUCCGCGCCGCAUUAGCUAGUUGGUAAGGUAACGGCUUACCAAGGCAACGAUGCGUAGCCGACCUGAGAGGGUGAUCGGCCACACUGGAACUGAGACACGGUCCAGACUCCUACGGGAGGCAGCAGUAGGGAAUCUUCCGCAAUGGGCGAAAGCCUGACAGAGCAACGCCGCGUGAGUGAUGAAGGUCUUCGGAUCGUAAAACUCUGUUAUUAGGGAAGAACAAAUGUGUAAGUAACUAUGCACGUCUUGACGGUACCUAAUCAGAAAGCCACGGCUAACUACGUG
rnacentral:rRNA from 1 species